UACGUAGGGCGCAAGCGUUGUCCGGAAUUAUUGGGCGUAAAGAGCUCGUAGGCGGUUUGUCGCGUCUGCUGUGAAAGACCGGGGCUCAACUCCGGUUCUGCAGUGGGUACGGGCAGACUAGAGUGCAGUAGGGGAGACUGGAAUUCCUGGUGUAGCGGUGAAAUGCGCAGAUAUCAGGAGGAACACCGAUGGCGAAGGCAGGUCUCUGGGCUGUAACUGACGCUGGAGGAGCGAAAGCAUGGGGAGCGAACAGG
rnacentral:rRNA from 1 species